UACAGCGGGUGAGUCAUACAGCAGGGGAGUGAUGUGUUUGCUGCCCUUCCAGGCACUUGCCCCUGCUCCCCCCUCCCCAUCCCGUACCCAGCACCCAUCACCGGGUCUCCCAGACUCUACCCACCUAGAAGGACUGACAGAUGAGAAGGACACCCCACCAUUCUUGAUCUCCAAGGUCCCCAGCCACCUCCUCCUCAGGACCUCAGCCAGUGAGAACUGGAUCCUAAAGCUCUUCUGUCUGCUCUCUGGAUGCUGCUGUGGUUUCUCUCCCAGAAGCACCUUUCUGAGCCCUCUGCAGCUCAUCCAUGCGGCCGCUGGGGGCUUUGAAGCAGAGAGCAAGCCUCAAAGGUGGAUCACAUUAAUACUCCCUUUGGAAGAGGUUUCCACGUGCACUGCGGUUUCAGAAGAUAAGGCCCCACAAGCACACGUGGUGAAUCAGCCCCUCUGCUCUGGCCCGAGUGGAAUUCAACCAAGUGGGAACCCACAGAAUUUCCCACGGCCUUCUGGGACCUGGAAGAGCCCAAGGGCGUCACCCGUGGGUGUCAGGGACCCAGGAACCGCCACCCCAGGCUGUCAUUUCCUUCGUCCUCUGGCUCAGUCCUGCUGAAACUAUAUAAGGCCCCUGGAAGGGCUGGCAGGUGGGGAGGGGGAGGGUGACCUGCGAGGGGGCCACUGUGUGACCCCUGGAGUGGCUGGGCCAGGCUCAGACAGUGUGGCCUCAUGGGCAAGAGCAGGGGUCUUUUUUUUUUUUUAGGGCCACACCCACAGCAUUUGGAAGUUCCCAGGCUAGAGGUCAAAUCGGAGCUGCAGACACCAGCCUACACCACAGCCAUGGCAACACCGCAUCUGAGCUGCAUCUGUGAACUACGCCACAGUUUGUGGCAAUGCUUAACCCACCGAUCAGGGCCAGGGAUCGAACCCACAUCCUCAUGGAUACUCGUCCGGUUCUUAACCCACUGAGUCACAAUGGAAACUCCAAGAGCAGGGGUCUUUGAAGUCAGAGAGACUUGGAGCAAAUCUCAGCUCUGUGCUUCCUACUCUGGGACCUCAGGCUUCUUUCUCUGGAACUUGACUUUGCCGGGCAAUCAAUAGACAGGAGCAGCCAGCAGUAGGACUAGAGUCUGCAGGGGACCCCUCCCUGACCUCAGCCCCCCUCAGCCUUCCUCUCAGUAAACUGGCAAGCAAGGCAAUUCUCCUGCCUCUCAGCACCAGCCAGGCUGGGACACUGUGUGACAUAGGACAUUAAGCAAUCCUUCAGGUCAAAGAAUCCCCACAUAACAAAUUCAUUCUGUACAAUAAAGAACUUGGCUGCACCCCUGCUUGGGCGUUUGAGAUCCAAAUUGCUGCCUUGGCACUUCAGAGGCAGAGAAAGGAGAAAUGAGCCUGGGGCUCUGGGAACAGCCCUUUAAACCUGUUUGAAAAUUCAGAUCCAUCUGGCCGCCCCUCACCUGCCCUCCAGGUUAGAAAGAAGGGAAGGGACUCUGGGGGCUGCCUGCUGGGCACGCGAAACAGUGAGCCAGGAAGGGCAGGGAUGGGGAAAGGGGUGUGAUGGGGACACAGACAUGCUGGGGCCUCCCAAGCGAUGCCCGCUCUCCUGACCCCGGGAAGCUCUGGGGGCCGUAGGAGGGAAGAGCUCUCUUAUCCGUAUUAGAAUGAGCAGACCUGAAACUCACAGACACAGACCAAUGACCAGCCCGCACCCCUGCCGUUCGUACAGGGCCAGCUCUGCCUGACUUCCUGCUGCAUCGGCUUUGUAUGGACCCUUUCUUCCUCCCCAGGUUGGCCUUUGAUGCCUGCUCACUUGUUCAUUUAUUUAUGCAGCCCCCUUACACCAAGCAUCUCCUGGUUGCCAGUGAACAGGGAGGGAAGGCAGAGCUGAUUAAUGAAAUUCAAAUUCUAAACUCCAGCCAGAGCUCACGGAGCCAAUCCGCUGAAUCCCCUCAGAUGUAUUUAAAAAUGGAGUAUCACCAGGGUGCCAAAGAAGGUGACAAAAAUUGCCCAAGAGAGACAGGGAAGGCACAUCUGAGCUGGGUCUUGAUGGCUAAGUAGGAGUUCACCUCAGGAGGUAAAAGAAGAGGUAGAGGAGGGGGAGCAGACAGGGCAUUCUAAGCAGAGGAAGCAGCAUGUUCAGCGUGGAGGUGGGAAAGGCAGGGUGUUUGGGGGAAAAUAGCAAAAGACAGGAAUGGAUUUCACUUCCUUUGCAUAGAGAGGUACAAGGGGGUGUCUCCCAUCGGCUCCACACGCCAGGUGAGCUCUCCCCCAGGUGAGAGCUUCCUGGCCCUGCCCGCCCGUCUCCCUCCUCACCUGUAUCAGUUCUCCACUGCUGGGUAACAAAUGACCCCCAAACAUAGCGGCUUAAAACAAUAAUAAACCUUGACAUCUAUGAUCUCUCCCAGUUUCCAUGGGUCAGGAAUCUGGGAGGAGGCUCGCUGUGGGUCUCUCAUGAGGUUGAAGUCAAGGUGUCAGCCAGGGCUGUGGGCACCUGAAGGCUGGAGCAGGGCUGGGGGCCCUACUCCCAAGACGAUUCCCUCCCAUGGGACUGGCUGUUGGCAGGAGGCCUCAGUUUGUCCCCACAUGGGCCUCCCCCCAUGGUGGUGGCUUCCCCAUGAGUGAGAACAAGGUAGGGAGUUCCCAUCGUGGCUCAGCAGGUUAUGAACCCAACUCGUAUCCGUGAGGAUAUGGGUUCGAUCCCGGGCCUUACUCAGUGGGUUAAGGAUCCGGCAUUGCAGGGAGCUGUGGUGUAGGUCACAGACGUAGCUCAGAUCUGGCAUGACUGUGGCUGUGGUGUAGGCCAGCAGCUAUAGCUCCAAUUCGACCCCUAGCCUGGGA
rnacentral:lncRNA from 1 species